UGGGGAAUAUUGGACAAUGGGCGCAAGCCUGAUCCAGCCAUGCCGCGUGGGUGAAGAAGGCCUUCGGGUUGUAAAGCCCUUUUGUUGGGAAAGAAAACUUUCCGGUCAAUACCCGGAGAGAAUGACGGUACCCAAAGAAUAAGCACCGGCUAACUUCGUGCCAGCAGCCGCGGUAAUACGAAGGGUGCAAGCGUUACUCGGAAUUACUGGGCGUAAAGCGUGCGUAGGUGGUUUGUUAAGUCUGAUGUGAAAGCCCUGGGCUCAACCUGGGAAUUGCAUUGGAAACUGGCAGGCUAGAGUACGGUAGAGGGUAGUGGAAUUCCUGGUGUAGCAGUGAAAUGCGUAGAGAUCAGGAGGAACAUCCGUGGCGAAGGCGACUACCUGGACCAGUACUGACACUGAGGCACGAAAGCGUGGGGAGCAAACAGG
rnacentral:rRNA from 2 species